GCCCCCAUCGUCUAGAGGCCUAGGACACAGCCCUUUCAAGGCUGCGACAGGGAUUCGAAUUCCCUUGGGGGCA
rnacentral:tRNA from 2 species